AACGAACGCUGGCGGCAUGCCUAAUACAUGCAAGUCGAACGAACACUUCGGUGUUAGUGGCGCACGGGUGCGUAACGCGUGGGAAUCUGCCCUUGGGUUCGGAAUAACUUCGGGAAACUGAAGCUAAUACCGGAUGAUGACGUAAGUCCAAAGAUUUAUCGCCCAAGGAUGAGCCCGCGUAGGAUUAGCUAGUUGGUGAGGUAAAGGCUCACCAAGGCUACGAUCCUUAGCUGGUCUGAGAGGAUGAUCAGCCACACUGGGACUGAGACACGGCCCAGACUCCUACGGGAGGCAGCAGUAGGGAAUAUUGGACAAUGGGGGAAACCCUGAUCCAGCAAUGCCGCGUGAGCGAUGAAGGCCUUAGGGUUGUAAAGCUCUUUUACCCGGGAUGAUAAUGACAGUACCGGGAGAAUAAGCCCCGGCUAACUCCGUGCCAGCAGCCGCGGUAAUACGGAGGGGGCUAGCGUUGUUCGGAAUUACUGGGCGUAAAGCGCACGUAGGCGGCUAUUCAAGUCAGAGGUGAAAGCCCGGGGCUCAACCCCGGAAUUGCCUUUGAAACUAGAUAGCUAGAAUCUUGGAGAGGCGGGUGGAAUUCCGAGUGUAGAGGUGAAAUUCGUAGAUAUUCGGAAGAACACCAGUGGCGAAGGCGGCCCGCUGGACAAGUAUUGACGCUGAGGUGCGAAAGCGUGGGGAGCAAACAGG
rnacentral:rRNA from 1 species